AUGUUUUAUUGCCCACAGGACUUCUAUAUCUCUCAUCUGAUUCGUCAACUUGAGGACUUGGACAUGUCAAGUGGCGUCAGAGCACAGAAGAUAUUUCCAUCAACACUCAAUUCAAGUAUCUACCUGACCACCUGCCAUAGCCCAUCAGAGUCUACAUCAGUCCAGAGCCAAUCACAGAGAGCCCAGUUCAGGAUGAUCCACAGACGUCCAACAAUCAACAUCCAUCAUCUCAACAGCAGGCUACGGCACCCGAGUUUCACCAAACAUAACCAAGGGGAGGGCCGGGACACAAGCUGCAGUGAGUCUCUGUUGAAAAUCACACCUGUCCAGGCGGCUUACACUAUCAAUUCGAGGGAUAGGAGAAGGGCCAAUGGGGAGAGGAGGGUAAAGACAUUCUACUGUUGGGGCCCAAUGAAUGACAGAGCAGGGCUUGGGUCAGGAACCAUCACCGAUGGGUCAAAGCGAAACGGUAGCAGCACACCGGCAGACAUCCACUCUGACGCCAGCGAUCUAUCCGACCAAGAGAAAGGGGGCGCCCAGGCCCACGAGUGGGUUACGCCCAAAGUAGAGCUCCGGUUGAGGCCUGAACCUUUCGACUUAGACCUGGACUCCGACUUGCACUUCUCGGAGUCGUCGGAGGCCCAGUCGCCAUUUGCGGAGGUGCUCCCAGCAUCUCUGAAAGUGCUGGAUCUGACCCGGAGUCUGCCCAGCACGGCCGAUUGGGAAAGUCGCCAGAGCCUGCACAUGCGAGAGCCUUCAUUGGUUGCCAUCGUAAGCAGACUAUCUGAGAUGGAGGAUCUGCAGGCGGCCACAGUACAGCGAGAGCUGACCAAAACGGGCCGGUGUCGGCCGGCGACGGCCAUCAGCUUGACCAGGAGCACUUCUCGCUUGAGGAAAGCAGAUUCAGUUGUGUCCAGUGUUACGGAACUGAGCCUGUCUCAAGACUCACGCACUAGGCCGACUUGUGCUCCUUACAAACAGAAUCGCAUCAGGGUGGGUGCAAGGCCACAUACAGUCUUUAAGAGACCCUGUUCCAGCUCAGCCAAACUAAACAGGACAGAGACCCUUGUCCAGGUCCAGUCUUGGGGUGAGGGAUCAACACCAAAACCUACAGGUUGCACCAAAAUCAGAAAAGCCAAAGCUAACAAGAAAGGUACAUUGACCUCCCACAGAGUGUCACCACCAAGCUCUGCAAAGAGAACUAAAGCCAGGGACUUGAGAAAAGCUUAA
rnacentral:lncRNA from 1 species